GGCCCUCCGACGAAAUAAUCGACUACGGUAAAAAGGAGAUCACGGCGGCGUAUAUCGAUGACCAGUGGUGGCGAACGUCGCGGCUCCGAUGCGCGCGGGUUCCUGUCAUCUCAUCUCGGCCCAAGGCCACAAUAACGAUAACACAUAAAUAUGUCUCCGUGCUGCGCGGUUAUGGACCCCAGGUGACAAUUGCGUCCUCUCCGGUGAAGAAAGAUGGCUCCGGUGGUGGUCAGAUCGAGAGGCGGUGGUGGGUCACGGCUUCUCCGAUCGCAAAACGUAUGACCUUAUGGAUCAAG
rnacentral:lncRNA from 1 species